rnacentral:lncRNA from 1 species
UAUUCGACACUUUUUCUAAUAUUACAGUAUUAAUAUUAAUAUUUAGAUUAUUGCUGACUGACUUAUUUUUUUGUUUGAAUAUCAUGUAUUUGGUUUUCUCAAUGUUAAUUUUUAAUUUAUUUGAAAACAGCCAUUUAAGAUAACAUUUUAGGUCAUUAUUAAUAAGUUGUGUUAAAGAAGUUUCAUCUGUUCCAGCAUAUACCAGUACAGUGUCAUCUGCAAAGGUCUAUGAAGACAGCUAUAACUAUUUGUUGUUUAUCUAAUGCCAUUGAAAUACAGUCUACAAAAUCCACAACCGCACCAAGUGUACUACUGUUCUUUAUAAAGCCAUAUUGAUAUUUAUCAUUCAAUAGAUUGCAAGAGUUAAUGAAAGAUAA